AGUGAACGCUGGCGGUAGGCCUAACACAUGCAAGUCGAACGGCAGCACAGUAAGAGCUUGCUCUUACGGGUGGCGAGUGGCGGACGGGUGAGGAAUACAUCGGAAUCUACUUUUUCGUGGGGGGUAACGUAGGGAAACUUACGCUAAUACCGCAUACGACCUACGGGUGAAAGCAGGGGAUCUUCGGACCUUGCGCGAUUGAAUGAGCCGAUGUCGGAUUAGCUAGUUGGCGGGGUAAAGGCCCACCAAGGCGACGAUCCGUAGCUGGUCUGAGAGGAUGAUCAGCCACACUGGAACUGAGACACGGUCCAGACUCCUGCGGGAGGCAGCAGUGGGGAAUAUUGGACAAUGGGCGCAAGCCUGAUCCAGCCAUACCGCGUGGGUGAAGAAGGCCUUCGGGUUGUAAAGCCCUUUUGUUGGGAAAGAAAAGCAGCAGGUUAAUACCCCGCUGUUCUGACGGUACCCAAAGAAUAAGCACCGGCUAACUUCGUG
rnacentral:rRNA from 1 species